AUCUCUGGACCUCAUGAUCCACCCUCCUUGGCCUCCCAAAGUGCUGGGAUUACAGACAUGAGCCACCGUACACAGCCAAUAGUGGUUUUUAGGUUCGGAUAUCUAAUUGGAAGUAUGUGAAACUUUUAAAAUGCAUGGACUCAAAUCGGCUUACUGGACAUUGACACGUCUUCAUGCACUAAUUUCAGCUGUUUAAGUGGGUUGUUUGGGAAUUUGAUAAUUUUGAAAAUAAAUAAUCUUACAUAAUUAUUAAAGGAAUUUCCAAAGCCACCCAUACUGCUUUUACACUCUAAACUGCUGUGAUUUUGGUUUUACUUCUUGUGCCAGGAACUCAUCAUAUAAGGUUGAAAUUUAUUCUGGUCCAAGUACAUAUUUAAAAAGUAUUAUAGAUAGCUCAGAUUCAGCCAUGUUACCAGUAAGUAAAUCAUAUCACAAACGACAUACAUGUUGAAGGGAGAUGUCUUUUUCGAUGUUCUGUUUAAUUUUAAACCUGGGGCACUAUUUGACUUACCUGGUAAUUCAUUCUGCCAGUGUAGUCCCUGAUGCCCUUUCAUAUUCUAUCCUCUGUUUUGUUUUUUUUUUUUACUUCCAUAUCUUCCCUCCUACCUCUCUUUUUGUGGACAGUUACCUUUUCUUCUGUCUGUAGCCUCUUUCUACUUUGACACUUAGCUUGAUACUAAACCAUAAUCCUGAGCCAAGUUUGUCCGAUACAGAGAAACACAGCCUUUUGCAAAAGCCUUCAGCAACUUUGUACUGAAAAAGUGAUAAAGGCCACACUCCUUCAGAUGGCACUCACUUCCAAUUUCCCAUCCAGCCUCCUCUUCCACAGCAUCCCUUUUUACCCGGUUUCCUCUGGCCAUGCCAGAUAAGCUGCUGUUUUCACCUUGCCUUGUGUAGUCAGUAUUCCUGAACUCUGCUCAGUUUCUUAGCUGUGAAAGCAGAACAUGUAUUUUGCUUUGUAUUUUUGUUCAUUCUUUCUGUAUCUGAGUACCUUAUAAUAUUAUAAACUGCCAGGGGCGAGGUUCAUGUUUUAUUCUUUUAUCUCUCCUAGUUUAUGGCAUGGUGGCUUAUACAUAAUUAUUGCUGAAUAGAUAUUUGUGAGUUGAAGAUUUUGUGUCCUCCCAAACUAACUACAGUUUCUUAAUGCACAUAGUAUUCACUCAGUGCUUUCUCAAAGCCUUUUCUUGUAACCACACGUUAUAAACUAGCAACAUCGAUAAAACAGCGAAGAGGCAAGUUUAAUUAUGGGCACUAUCUUUUAUUCUCUCUUGGAGUUGAUGGCUUAGAGCAGUGGUUUUGCAGACUUUGACCUCGAUUCCCAUCAUCUAGAAAGUUUGUUAAAAUUCUAGGUCCUGGAACCGGAGUUUCUGAUUUAUUAGGUCUGGGGUGAGGCCUAAGAAUGUACAUGUCUGAGAGGUUGCCAGGUAAUGAGAAUGCUUAUGCAUCAGAACCUCAUUUAGGGAACCUCUAUGGAGGGUGACCAGAAGUCUCUGACUACUGUAUUCUAAAGUUGCUGAGUUCAAGAACACUUAAUCUAUGAAUAAUCUCAAGAUGAGAGUUAAAAGUGGCUUUUAGUUGUGUGUAUUUCAUAUACCUUUUUAUCUUUAGAUUUUGUUUUUCCACCUAAUAAGGUGCGUACACAUCUCCUCUCCAUUGAUCUGUAUUUAAUUGGAAGGGAAAAUGCUUUCACCUGUUGGAUGUGCACACUAACUCUUAUUUUCCCACCCUUGUUUGCCCAAAGGAAUUUCUGUUGAGGACAUAUCAUGGUGCAUCCUAGAUGGUAGCUCAGUUAAUCCUCAGGCAAAUCCUAUGAUUUGUCUCUGUUUUUCCAAUGACGGGAGGUUAGUUCACUGGUCCAAGGUUAUACACAUAGGAAAGAUAGGCCAACCAGGAUUCAAACCUGGGGAGUCUGGCUCAGGAGCCCAUAUACCUCACCACUGUCCUUUGGUAUCUCUCUAGGUAACAUAAGAUGCUGCUGUCUUUGUCUCAACCUGUGGCUUGAUGCCUUUUCCACAAAUCCUUUUGACAUCUCCAGCUAAUCCCUGGUUUAAGGCUGCCCUCCGGCAUUACAGAUUUUUUAUGCUUGAAUGCAAAAACCCAAGUAACCAUCACUCUUUUAGGAACUGUGUCUUAAUCAGAUUUAUUUUGGUCUGUGAGUGCAGCUGCACAUUACAGUUACACAGUAUUUUUAUCACUUGCUUUAUGAAAAAUGACAGCGCACCACAAAUGGCCCAGUUUAGAAGAGAAUAGUGGGGCCUCUUAUCAGAUGAUCUUGCUUUUUUGAAUUUAGAGCUUUACAUGCAUCAUCAUAUUUGGUUUUAAAAACCAAAACAACAACAAAAACUGCUAAACAUUAUCCUGAUUUCACAGGUAAAGAACUGAGUCUCAGGAAGGUUGAAGAACUCUACUGCAAGGCCAAAUCCUAAGAAUGAGAUCCAGGUUUAAAUCCAGAGUUUGAAUUCCCAGUUCAGUGUUGAUUUUACUAUAUGUUAGAUACUUGUAUUAAGAUGGAAUCUAUACCUUCUAUGAGCUUUAGGAGAGAUUUUACAAAUAUUGGAUAAAGUUUUCAGAUUAGAGUUUUGAGUCUUCACUUAGUCAGUGAGUUUUUUAUUGUGCUCUUUCUUUGAGCUGGGCCCUCUUGUAGAUGCUUGGAAUAUAUCACAGAACAAAUAUAAACUUCCUGUAGUUCGAAAAUACUAUUAAUUUAUAAAGUAAAUAAAUUUCUGAAGCUUCCACAUUUACUGUGAUAGGUAAUUUUAAGUGUCUGCUUGGCUGGGAUCCGGUGCCCGGCUGUUUGAGAGGGUGACAAUAAACAGUAAACAGAAAUGAGUAAAUUGUACAUUAGAUGCUGAUAAGUGCCAUGGAAAACAAAAUCAGUAGAGGAAGGUUGGGGAGAAAGGAUUCCAGGCAAGAGCAAUGCAGUUGAACUUUUAUGUUGGAUAAUUAGGUAGAACUGACACUUAAGCAAGAAUAAAGGACACGAGUGAGUUAGCUGUGACCCUGGGCAUGAAAAGACGGUCCAGGCCCAGAGAGCAGUGAGCACAACAGGUCACCCGUGGCAGUGUGCUGAAUGUGCUUUGGGAACAACACAGGAUAGUGUGGCUGGAAGAGAAUAGUGGGAGGAUACUUAGGAGAACGAAUGCUCAGCCAGGGCCUUUUCCAGGGCCUUGUUUAUCAUGGACCGUUUUGAGCCAAGAAGGGAUGUGAUCUGACGUAGACUUGGAUCAGUCUGAUGAAUCUGUGGAGAACAGACUGCAGGAGAGCAGUGGUGGACACAGGGAGACCAGUUAAGAGAUGAUGUUGUCAAUCCAAGUGACCCAUGUUGGCAGCUGGGACUAGGAGGAGAGAGCAAUGGAGUCGGCAAGAAGAGAUUAAAUGCUAUACAUAUCCAGAAGGUAGACUCAGUGAAGGUACCUGGUGGAUUAGGUGUAUAAUGGUAGAGAAAAGGCUGAGUUAAGAAGGACUGCCAAGAUGUUGAGCCUCAGAAACUCUGAGGGAUGCAACUGGCACCAAAUGAGAAGGAGAGGGUGAGUGGGGCAGGUCUGAGAGUUGGAUCAACUUAAGAGAUAAGUUUCGAGUUCACCAAGGCCUGUGGGGCACCCAGCUGUCAGUGCUGAGUAGGCAGGUGGAUCCAGGAGUCAGGGUCUGGGUCAGGGCAGUGACUUGAGAUACAGCAACGUAUGUGUGACAUUUAAAGUCAUCAGACUGGAUGAGAUCCCCAAGAAAGUGAAUGUAAAUAAAGAAAAGGAGGUAAGACCACUGAACCCUGGUAUGAGCGUGAUUGGGAUGU